UGGGACGACGAAGCAGGAUGAGGCAGAGGAGUCGGGAGAGGGGUCGCAUUCGCGAGGCAGGUGACGGUGGCCAUGGCUGUGGGAUUUGGAUGGAUGUCACGGCAAUGCGGUAGUGUCGGGGUGUUCGGGGCAGUGUGGGAGAUGUGAAGAGAAAGGAACGAGAGGGAGGAGGGGCGAGGAGAAAGGGCGUGGAGUGGAGGGACUUGGUAUUCGGCGUGAUUGUGGAAUGGAGGAGCUUGUGGCGGAUCGAGAAGUGGUUGCCCGCGGUGGAUCAGGUGGUGUGGUUGCUACGGGAGCAUCGGUUUGUGAUGCAUGUCCAGCCCGGUUGGGUCGGUGGCCAGGGUAUUGUUGGCAACUAGUAGUGGGGAACUAAUUUUUUUUUUUUUUUUUUUUUUUUUUUUUGGGGGGGGGGCACACACAGCGGGAGUUAGGGGAGUGAAUGCUUUGUGCUGAAGGUGGAAUCUGCUACGAGAAUCGGCUCAGGAGUGUUCAGGUUCAAGGUUGGAGGAACGUUGUUAUGCCGAUGAUGGAGGAAGGUGCGCGUCAUUCAGCACGGUCGCCAUCAUCGGAUGGCGAAUCCAGUAGCGACGACGAUGACUCGACAUUUGGGGUUCCUAGUGGUCGGGGCCGCAGGCUGUUGUAUCCGAUGCCUCAGUCUCAUUGGUUUCCCCGAUCGAUUUCGUUCCAGGCAUAUGUGGCACCAAGGGUGUCGAGGCAGCGCAGUGGGGCCGAGGCACCGUCAAGGGUGUUGAGGCAACACGCUGGAGUUAAUGCACUACGAUUGCAUAUCCACGUUACCCGUCCGUUGGCGUACAAGCUCACGAAGGAUAUUGUGGUGACGUUCCAAAACUGUAAUCCCGAUUUUGCUUUUUCACCGGAUCUGAAUCCGAAGCGAUACCUGACUGUUCCAUCGACAAUCGUGUCAGAGAAUGGCCUGGACAAUGAAAAGCACGACCUUGUGCUGUAUUUCAACCAAGUCUUGGUGAAUAGCGAUGGUACUCGCAGGUAUGUCGUGAAAGAUCUGGUGGGUUCUGGCACUUUUGGGCAGGUAGCAAGAUGUUAUACGGAGGAGACCAAUGAAUACGUUGCAGUGAAGGUCAUAAAGAAUUUGGCAGCUUAUUACACCCAGGCGCGGUUCGAGAUCGGAAUUUUGCACAUGCUGAACAGGGAAUACGAUCCAGAUGACCAGUACCACAUCGUCAGAAGCCUAGACCACUUUCAGCACCAUGAGCAUCUAUGCAUUGUAUUUGAGCUUCUUACGGAAAACUUGUACGAGCUGUUGAAAAAAACGAAUUUGAAGGGCAUGUCCCUUGUAUUGGUGCGAAUGUUCACUAAACAGUUGCUGAAAUCUCUGAGUCUUCUGCGGGAAGCUAGGGUUAUACAUUGUGAUUUGAAGCCGGAGAACAUUCUUCUGACUGAGAGUUUUCGGUCCGCGGAGUUGAAGCUUAUCGAUUUCGGUUCAGCGUGUAAAGAAGAUCGAACUGUAUACACAUAUAUACAGAGUCGGUUUUACAGAUCUCCCGAGGUACUGCUUGGUCAUCGGUACACCACCGCUAUCGAUAUGUGGUCGUUAGGGUGUGUGGCAGCUGAGCUUUUCCUGGGGCUGCCACUGUUCCCCGGAGCUUCCGACUUUGAUAUGCUGCUAUUUAUGAAGGAGAAACUCGAAAGCCAACCCUCGGAUCAUAUUUUGAGGAAUGCAAAGUACACGAACAAGUUCUUCAAGCUACUGACAGCUGCUCCUCAUGCCGACCACAGUGUCAGCGCUUAUCAGCUGCUGACAGUCGAGGAGUAUGAAGCGCGUCAUAGGAAGAAGCCCGAGAUUGGGAGGAGGUACUUCAAUGGUAAUCUUUCGGAAGUGAUAAUGGGAUUUCACAUGAAGCCCAUGCCAGCGGCGGAUCAGAAUAAAGAGAUGCAAGCUCGGGAGUGUUUCGUGGAUUUUUUAAGAGGCUUGCUCGAAUGUGACCCAAGGAAAAGAUGGACACCGCAGCAGGCUGCGCAGCACCCAUUCAUAACAGAUGAGCCAUUCGUUGGGCCUUAUGUUCCUGUUCCAGAGACUCCACGAGCGUCUGUGAAUCAAAGUCUUCUCAUAGACCAUAGUGGCGCGGCGGGGCAUUGGGUUGGCGCAGGCCUUUCUCCCCAGGUGGGAGGGUUAAACACAGGUACUCGGUACGCUGCGAGCCCUCAUCAACAUCCCAGUCAUUUUUCACGAGGGAGUAGUCAUGGCAGUGUGGGCAGUUUUGGAAGCUAUGGAGAAGGUGUAACGAUGGACGGCAAUUUCGACAAUUAUAUGGACGAACCGAGUGCACAUGCGAUGGGCAUGAGUGCUCAAGCAUCAAGGGUAGGCAGCUCUCCCGAAUCAAGUUGGCAAGGGAGAAUGUUCGUACCAUCUAUGCAUCCGCAACAUCCAGCUCUUCGGUCAUUGAAUAUUGGAGCCAGUCCGUCAUUCAAUCUGGGACAGAGUCCGUCUGGAUUCGGCCAUCAAAAUCUCUAUCAGCUGUCCCCUGGUCCUUAUGGUGCGUCGCCAGGGUCGUUUCCUUCGUCACCAGCAUCUAGUUUCUUCCAGUCGAAUGGAUCUCAAUCGCAGGUAAGUUCCCCGAAUUGGUAUAAUUCAGCUUCGCCUGCGCGGCAACCGGGCAAUGCAAAUGGUGCGCAAGGGCAUUAUCUUCGGAGGCGGCCUUGGCAAGGACACCCCAGUCCCGGUGGACACGGACAGGGGUCGCAGCUGUCCCAGCAGCAGGAGUUGGCGCAUUGGUCGAGGCUUCAACACGGCAGUGGGAAUGCGAAUGUGGAUGCAAUGCCGAAUAUGAGUUUUGAGGGUCAAGGUGGGGUACGAAGAGGUGGUCCACACGUACCUCACUCUCGGUGUGCUAGGAAUGGCAACAGUGGGGGGGCGACGCAGUCGCUGCGGGGGUUAUCUUCUUACGGUCCAGGCACGCUAGGUUCGCAUUUAUCACCAGGAAGUUCUAUGGAUGGUGGAGAUGAAGAUUCCGCAGUGAGCACUCAUUGGGAUCCCGACUUCAGUGGCGAACUACUUCUAGAAGAAGAUGGUCACGAAGCUGGAGCAAGGAAAGGCCCUGCUAGGUCCAGUGGAGCUGGAGGUGACGGCUUUUAUGAUGGGACCACGUCGAGGAGGACAUCACAAGGUCGAGUGAGCACCUCAAGCAUAGAUAGUUUUGCGUCUUCGAAUAGCUCCCAGUCUAGGUACCUACGUCCGAAGCCCGGCCACUUUUCUUCGAGUCAAACUUCUCCUAGCAGGCUUGGACCCCAAAUUUCUCAUAAUUCUCAGCAGCAGCGUUAUCAGCAAGGUAACCAGCAGCAACAGGCGCAACAUGGGUGGCAGCAGAUAUCACCAGAGCAAACUCCUCUUCACCCUGUUCAUCAGGGGGCCAUGAGGCAUAUGCCUGGGGAAGUGGGUGGUGCAGUUGGCGGAACAGCGUCUUUGCAACAGUGGCAGCAGGCUCUUCUUUUUCAGCAGCACCAACUUCAAAACGAGCAUCACCAACAGCACUAUGGGAUGAAUCACGCACUUCCAGAGGCGCAGUUUUCAGGGGUGGUACCGGGGAUUUCCAAUAGGGACAUGAGAGCGCAUGGGAAUCAAUUGCCAUCCCCUCAGAAUGAUAACAGAGUUCAGUACAUGGGGGCAGCUUAUGAUACCCAUUCCUCUAGUGCUGCCAGAGUGAAUAGUGGACAAGGUGAUCCAAAUUCGAAUGCCGCCGCUGCAGCAGGAAUUGCAAUGGUAACAGGUAUAGGUCAUGGAGGUAUAAGUUAUGCAAUGCAAUGUGCCCCACAUCAGGGCUACUAUGGGGGAGGAGAGGAAUUGCAUCGCCAUUGGUCUAUUCCCCAGAGCCAUGAGCUUUGCUUAGGAUCAAAGCCCCCAAUGCCAGGUCGACAGUGAAUGAGGCUGUGAUCCGGCGCAGUAGUCAUUAAAGCAGCCGUGUGAUCUGGCGGCAUAUAGAUGCCUUGUUGGUUUGUGCACAAGAGUGCGAAGGUGCACUGAGUAGCGCUGAGGAGCAAAUGGAGGCUGAGGAGCUUGUGCAUGUUAUGCCCAAGUUGAGGCUUAUAUGAGACUGAUUGUGAAUUUCGCAAAAUAUCAGCGAUCAUUUAUGAACAGUCAAUUCCAUGCAGGCGUAUGGAAAUCUCUUCCAGGGUUCUCGAUCUUAGAAAAUUCGUCCAACAUAGGUUGUUUACAAGUGCAGCUGAACAGCACGUUGGAGUUGUUGCGGUCCGUUUUGCAUCUGCAUGGUUGUCUGGACAUAGGGAAUGCCCAGGUUUUCAUGUGAUUGUGAGCAAUGGCGGGUUAGUGUGUGCACAUUCCGACGGUGGAAUACCGUGUUUGGUGGUUGAAGUAGCAUAUGCGCUGUAAAAUAGCCGAUUCUGGUGUGCUUGACAAUUGGCUUGCCAUUCGGAAUGCACUCCAGAUUGUCUGAAUCAGAGGUGCUGCUCUUGUGGUUAUAAGAUACCAGCACGUGGUUGAUUUGUAAGCGGUAGAGCUGUAUUUGAUUUAUGGGCAAAUUCACCUUUUUUUCCAUUAUUCCCGUCAACACAUGCCUGGUUCCAUUGACGGGGUGCUCUCCAAAUGUCAGAUUUCGUUCAACAGCAUUCAACUUGAUACAACUACCUAGAACUCAAUUAGCCAUAGCCAUGGGUAUUAGACAGACUUUGAACCAGAGUCAAUAAUAUGACUCAUUUUCAAGUUCCGGUACUGCAUGAAGGCUCGAUUAUGAGCAAAACUUUCAAGUCUGGCAUGAAUCGGCAGCUCGUUCGGGCCCUGAAAGCCAUCUUGAAUUUCAUGUAGUGAAGAAGUGGGCAAGGUCACAGCUAUUAAUUGGUUCAAAUGAGGUGAUAGCAACCUUUUCAGGAAUCAAUGUAGGAAAAUCUAAUCAUUAAGCCAGCCCCAAUGCAUGAUUGCAGCACAUGUUUUCUUUUUGUGUGAUCAGCAAUGUUGGAUUCUGCAGCCUUCAUUUCUCCACUCAAAAUUCAGUUAAAUA